GCUUUGGGGGAGUAUUCUUGAUGGUAUGGAAGACAGGACAGGCAGAUUUUCAGCUAAGACAGCACUUAUAUUAUGGGCAUGCAUCUUUUAGAGUACCCAAGGCCCAAGCCUUGGUGAUAGAAUUUAAGUUUGUCAGAGGUCCCCUGGUGUUUCAGACACAUAAUUUACCUCUCUAAUUAACCUAAGUGUUCUACCUGGUGCAGUGCCAAGAGGACAAGUCUCUGGACCUCCAGCUGUGGAGAAGGAGAGCUGUGGAGCUCCUCUGAAGUCCUGUCUGUCCUACUGAUGGAAAUCUCAAACAGACUGGACGCAAUUAUCCUGGGGACAUAUUCUGCUGGGUCCAGAUCUGCAAGGCAUAUGAUUUGCUUCUUCCUUUCAAAAGAGAAGAGUGGCUGUACUGCACUAAAGUCUAACAAAGAGAGCAGAAUUGAGACCAUGUAGACAGGAAAGAAAAGCAUUCAGGAUCCAUGAAAUAGGAAAGUGGACUCUGGCAGGCUGUGCAAGUGCAUGGCCAAGAGUCAGCACUGCCCUUGGUGUGGCACUGAGCCAUCCAAACCCUGGUGGUGGCUUCUCUGUGUCAGAACUGAGGUGCGGUCAUGGACAGCUGGAAAAACAUAUGGUGCUGUUGCCUAAGCACCACCUGCAUUGAAGAAAAGGAUCUUCACACUUGUGUUCUUCAAAGGGAAAACAACACCACUUGCCAUGAAUGUUUUUCCUUGUGCUGGAAGCCCCAAAUCACAACCAGGGAUAGACCUCUGGUUACACGUCUGUUUUGCACCUUGUGACACAUGGCCUUGUGACGCAUGGCCUUUCACUGUUGUUUACUCUUAAAUAAAGCAUCAUUCCACCAAA